rnacentral:rRNA from 1 species
UACGUAGGUGGCGAGCGUUGUCCGGAUUUACUGGGCGUAAAGAGCGCGCAGGCGGCUGGUCAAGUCCGAUGUGAAAGCUCCCGGCUUAACUGGGAAAUUGCAUCGGAAACUGAUCGGCUGGAAGGUGGGAGAGGGUAGCGGAAUUCCCGGUGUAGUGGUGAAAUGCGUAGAUAUCGGGAGGAACACCAGUGGCGAAAGCGGCUACCUGGCCCAUUCUUGACGCUGAGGCGCGAAAGCUAGGGGAGCAAGCGGG